UUUUAUGGAGAGUUUGAUCCUGGCUCAGGAUGAACGCUGGCGGCGUGCCUAAUACAUGCAAGUCGAGCGAACAGACGAGGAGCUUGCUCCUCUGACGUUAGCGGCGGACGGGUGAGUAACACGUGGAUAACCUACCUAUAAGACUGGGAUAACUUCGGGAAACCGGAGCUAAUACCGGAUAACAU
rnacentral:rRNA from 1 species